GCUGGCUUUCAGAUUAGCGAUAGUUAAAGAGUGAACAAGUUUAUGUUGCCUGUCUACCAUCAUGUGACUAUGAAGAUACUAUGGGAUGCCAAAGAGGAUCACAAAAAUCUGAAAACAUCAGAUUGUCCAGGAGAGGUGUGAUUUUUGCCUGCUGCAGAUUUGGAAUCCUGUGGCCUCUUGAGAGGAUAUAAAUGAGUUCAUACAGUGAAAUGUAGAAUGCUCUGGAAGUUUAUGUCAUGGGACCCUAACUGAAUCUGUGUAUCAGAAAGAACCUCUUGAAGAAUUUAAGUUUCGACUGAGGCCUUAAAGAUGUGUAAUUGGACAAGGUGUGGUUGAAGGUGUUCUGGGCUGAGCCAACAGCCUGGACUAAGAGUCCAGGAUGUGAAAAACCACUUUUCACGAACCUUCCAAAGUGAAGACAGAAGAAACUUCUGAGGAGACACUGGUGUGAGACCAGCAUGUGGAGAUUUGAACAGGGAAAAUUGUUGGG